AGUGAACGCUGGCGGUAGGCCUAACACAUGCAAGUCGAACGGCAGCACAGUAAGAGCUUGCUCUUACGGGUGGCGAGUGGCGGACGGGUGAGGAAUACAUCGGAAUCUACUUUUACGGGGGGGAUAACGUAGGGAAACUUACGCUAAUACCGCAUAUGAUCUACGGGUGAAAGCAGGGGAUCUUCGGACCUUGCGCGAUUCAAUGAGCCGAUGUCGGAUUAGCUAGUUGGCGGGGUAAAGGCCCACCAAGGCGACGAUCCGUAGCUGAUCUGAGAGGAUGAUCAGCCACACUGGAACUGAGACACGGUCCAGACUCCUGCGGGAGGCAGCAGUGGGGAAUAUUGCACAAUGGGCGAAAGCCUGAUCCAGCAAUGCCGCGUGAGUGAAGAAGGCCUUCGGGUUGUAAAGCCCUUUUGUUGGGAAAGAAAAACUGCAGGUGAAACCCCCGCUGUUCUGACGGUACCCAAAGAGUAAGCACCGGCUAACUUCGUG
rnacentral:rRNA from 1 species